rnacentral:rRNA from 1 species
CACGUAGUUAGCCGGUGCUUAUUCUACAGGUACCGUCAUCUACAGAGGUUAUUAGCCUCUAUCAUUUCUUCCCUGUCAAAAGUGCUUUACAACCCGAAGGCCUUCAUCACACACGCGGGAUGGCUGGAUCAGGGUUUCCCCCAUUGUCCAAAAUUCCCCACUGCUGCCUCCCGUAGGAGUCUGGGCCGUGUCUCAGUCCCAGUGUGGCUGGUCGUCCUCUCAAACCAGCUACGGAUCGUCGCCUUGGUAGGCCUUUACCCCACCAACUAGCUAAUCCGAUAUCGGCCGCUCCAAUAGUGAGAGGUCUUGCGAUCCCCCCCUUUCCCCGUAGGGCGUAUGCGGUAUUAGCCACUCUUUCGAGUAGUUAUCCCCCGCUACUGGGCACGUUCCGAUACAUUACUCACCCGUCCGCCACUCGCCACCAAGAGAGCAAGCUCUCUCGUGCUGCCGUUCGACUUGCAUGUGUAAAGCAUCCCGCUAGCGUUCAAUCUGAGCCAGGAUCAAACUCU